GUAAUUUCGCUACCUCCAAUGGUAGACGCUACAACGAUGGGUGUCGUCAAGAAAGACACGCUUAAAGGAAUCAGCUAGGAAUUAGACGAUCACCAUUGGUAUAGGUGAGUUGUUUAAUAGUUGUUGCAUUGGGAUAAAUGCAUGUUUUGGAUUAAUUCAUAAUCAGGAAUAGCAGGGAAGGAAAGAAACGUGUUGCUACGUGAACCCGGAAAGGCCGGGACGAAUUUCAAAAAAAAAUCUAGAGACGAUCGUUCUGAGUGUGCCACCUACACAUUCAAACGUGUAGACAAGCACAGUAUUCCCUAUCUAUGUAAUGUGUUUUCAUAAUUAUGUGAUAUAGGGCAAAAAAAGGUAGCAGUUUUUUGUGUCGUGUUGUUAAGCAUUUCCAGGGGAGAUAAUGUUAUUUUUCACGGUGUGUUUGAUAGGUUUGUUACAUUGUAACAUUAUAUAAUACACACUGAUAAAGUGGAUUAAAAUAGCCUCUCACACUCAAUUAACUGAAUUUCAAUUAUUCUAUUUACCGUAGUGCUAUUAUAUAAGACUUCGGAGGUUCAUAUCACUAAUAUUAAACGUUUUUAUAUUGGAUUUUUUUUACUAUUGUUAUUGAACGGUUCAUAGUAAAAAAAAAUCCGAUAAAACCGUUGAAUGUAAAUAUGAACCUCAGAAGUCUUAUAUACAUUGUCCUUUAAUAUAAGACCGGAGGUUCAUAUCAUUUACAUUCAACAUUUUUUAUCGAUUUUUUUUUGUUUACUUUCAAUGUUGAACGAUUCUACGGUUCAACAUUAGUAGUUUUAAAAAAUCCGAUAAAAAUUAAUGGUUCAACAUUGAUAGUAAAAAAAAUCCGAUAAACAUGUUGAAUGUAAAUGAUAUGAAACUCUGAAGCCUUACAUUAUUGGACUAUCGUUUAUUAGUUCUUUAUCCUAACUAAAUGUUUUUUGUGGUGUAUAUUACAAAAAAAGAGGGUCUUUUAAAAACACCAAAAUACCUUUAAAACAAUCCUACAAUAUCUGUUUACAGAAUGAGAGAGAUAUUUCGUAUUCUAAACCUAAUUUUUCUCACAUGUUUGUUAGAUAUGUUGUAAAUACAGACAAAUGUUUAGUACGUAUACCCAUCCCCUCUAUUUCAAUUCAUUAGUUCAAGAUACAGCUCUGAAGAAUAUGCAAUAACCUAACAUUGAUAAUUUAGCUAACAAUAAGUUCAGUACAUCUUUCUAACAAGUGAAGACCAAUGAAAACAUUUGAUAUGAUUUGAAAACAUGGUCAAUUAAGUAGGAUCUUGUGGUUUCGUAGACAUAAAUGAUAAUUCAACAUUUUCGAUUUAUAUAUUUUUUUUUAUUUCAUAUUCUAGUAUAUUUAAUAACAUGUUUAUAUUUUGUGACGCAUCUGAUGUAUAAAUCCAGUGCCAGAUCCUGGAAAGAGCUCUUAGUUCCGAUCCGUUUGUACGGGGAACAUGUGGUUGCAACCCGGCCCUUCUUUAAUUGCCUGUUCGAUUUUUUGUUUGCAGUGUCGAAAAGGGAGAAAGACAGCAGUUUUAUCAAGAAGUUAUGUGAAAGUUCUGCUAUACAUCUGACAGUCAGGAAUAAUUCUGAAGUACACAUGUCGACCAGAGGCAUGGAACUGAGAGGAGAGGGUACCAGAUGCUUAUCUGAGAUUCCAAUUUGAACUAAAGAAAGCAAUAUAUAAAGAUAUGUUGGAGAAAUAAUCUAUAUGAAUAAAGUUAUGCCACAAAAGGAACUUCUUUUUUUAUAUACAGAAUUUGUCAAACGUAUCCAUAACAUCUAAGAGAUGUGAAUGCAUCCUUCAUAGCCUUGUAAUACUGAUGGUAAUAAUUUAUAUAAUUUCUGAGAUGAUAUAG
rnacentral:lncRNA from 1 species